AGGAGAGGCAGGCAAACAGCUGAGGCGGUAGGCUUAGGGCCAGAGCCAGGGGAGGGCAGGGUGGUAUAUGGCAACUAACCAGUCAUUCUCCCUCUUCCUCUCAGGCGGGCAGGGCUGGGCAGCGGCCUGAGUCUCAGUGGACUUGUCCACCCGGAGUUGAGUCGGAGCGGCGAGCUGGCAGUACAGGCUCUGGAGCAGUUUGCCACUGUGGUGGAGGCCAAGCUGAUAAAACACAAGAAGGGGAUUGUCAAUGAACAGUUUCUGCUGCAGCGGCUGGCAGACGGGGCCAUCGACCUCUAUGCCAUGGUGGUGGUUCUCUCGAGGGCCUCAAGAUCCCUAAGUGAGGGCCACCCCACGGCCCAGCAUGAGAAAAUGCUCUGUGACACCUGGUGUAUCGAGGUGAGACUCGGGGCUGCCAAGCUCAGGUGAGGGCUAGAGGUACAGGCCCAACCCCUCCUUCCCUCUCCCCAGGCUGCAGCUCGGAUCCGAGAGGGCAUGGCCGCCCUGCAGUCUGACCCCGGGCAGCAAGAGCUCUACCGCAACUUCAAAAGCAUCUCCAAGGCCUUGGUGGAGCGGGGUGGUGUAGUCACCAGCAACCCACUUGGCUUCUGAAUACUCCCGUCCAGGGCCUGGCCCGGUUAUGUGCCUUCCCUCAAGCUAAAGCCGAAGCCCGUUUCCUUAGGGCCCUGGUUUGUCCGGAAGGGGCCUAAUGUUCCCAGCACUGUGCCUGCUCUCAAGAGCACUUACUGCCUCACAAAUAAUAAAAUUUCUAACCAGUCA
rnacentral:sRNA from 1 species